GACGAACGCUGGCGGCGUGCCUAAUACAUGCAAGUAGGACGCAGUUGCGAACGGGUGAGUAACGCGUAGGUAACUGCCUAUUAGAGGGGGAUAACUAUUGGAAACGAUAGCUAAUACCGCAUACUAGUAGCUGGACCUGCGUUGUAUUAGCUAGUAGGUAGGGUAAUGGCCUACCUAGGCAACGAUACAUAGCCGAACUGGGAGGGGGAUCGGCCACACUGGGACUGAGAAACGGCCCAGACUCCUACGGGAGGCAGCAGUAGGGGAAUUUCCGGAAAUGGGGGAACCCUGACCGAGCAAAGGCGCGUGAGUGGAGAAGGGUUUCGGAUCGUAAAGCUCUGUUGUUAAGGAAGCGGUACUUAACCAGAAAGGGACGGCUAACUACGUGCCAGCAGCCGCGGUAAUUC
rnacentral:rRNA from 1 species